CUGCAGUCACUAGUCCUCUGCUGUGGUAUUUAAUUUACCGGCUGCACCAGUUCUUACUACACUGGCCACGGUGAGGAAUACCCAGAUGGAUACAGAUCUGCCAUGCACUCCACCACUGCCCGACAGCCUCACCCAGAAGGGAAAUACACUGGGCCUAUCGAGACUGACAAAGCAGAGAUGGGUGGCUAACUAGAGAAAAUAAAACCUCCAAACAGCGUGGUGGCGAGUCAAUCUGCAAACCUAAUCUAGGCAAGCAGUGAGGAGCGCACAAAACAAUACAGGCUACAGACAUCACAAGCAGUGAGCACAUAACAAUACAGGCUCCAGACAUCACAAGCCAGCAAGAAGAAACCCAUGAAACAAACAAGUUACACACAACCUCGUGUGAUGGAUAGCUGUCGGCUAUAUUAGCCACGACUUAC
rnacentral:lncRNA from 1 species